rnacentral:lncRNA from 1 species
CUGGCAUUCAGAAAAGCUCUUAAGAGUUAAGUUUUAAGAUCAUUUAAGUCUAUCUCUUCCUUAAUAAUCUUUUCUUAACACUUUACCUUGCUAGGGGUCUGAUGUUUAAUGCCUGCAUGAUCAUUAAUACAAGAGAGCAGAAUGCCAUUUUAAAGUCAAUUAUGCUAAAAGUCUUGCAACUUGUCCAAAAUAUGAAGCUUCUGAGAUGUGGAGCAUGGAAGAGACAGAAGAAAUUCAUCUCUGAUUCAUCACCAAAUUGUUUGAUACACCAAGCAUCCAGCUUCAACCAAAAAGAAACAAGUGAGCUUCCAAAAAUGUUCCUUUGUAGAGAAGUGCUACUCUCAGUUCAAGGGUAGGGACAAAGAAGCCACACAGAACAACUACAGGAUGCUAAGGGUAGGACCCAGGAAUACAAUCUUAAUUUUUUUCUAUGUUUAAUUAGUGAAGAAGAAUCUUCCUGUUUUUUUCUGGGACUUCUGGGCUGGUGUGAUGGUUCCAGGUCACCUGAGCAUCACACUGAGGCCUCCACCUGAGCUGGCCAUGUGUG